rnacentral:rRNA from 1 species
UUUUCGGACCUAGAGACCGGCGCACGGGUGCGUAACGCGUAUGCAAUCUACCUUUUACAGAGGGAUAGCCCAGAGAAAUUUGGAUUAAUACCUCAUAGUAUUAUUGAAUGGCAUCAUUUAAUAAUUAAAGUCACAACGGUAAAAGAUGAGCAUGCGUCCCAUUAGCUAGUUGGUAAGGUAACGGCUUACCAAGGCAACGAUGGGUAGGGGUCCUGAGAGGGAGAUCCCCCACACUGGUACUGAGACACGGACCAGACUCCUACGGGAGGCAGCAGUGAGGAAUAUUGGUCAAUGGGCGCAAGCCUGAACCAGCCAUGCCGCGUGCAGGAUGACGGUCCUAUGGAUUGUAAACUGCUUUUGUACAGGAAGAAACAGUUCUACGUGUAGAACCUUGACGGUACUGUAAGAAUAAGGAUCGGCUAACUCCGUGCCAGCAGCCGCGGUAAUACGGAGGAUCCAAGCGUUAUCCGGAAUCAUUGGGUUUAAAGGGUCCGUAGGCGGUUUUGUAAGUCAGUGGUGAAAGCCCAUCGCUCAACGGUGGAACGGCCAUUGAUACUGCAAGACUUGAAUUAUUGGGAAGCAACUAGAAUAUGUAGUGUAGCGGUGAAAUGCUUAGAGAUUACAUGGAAUACCAAUUGCGAAGGCAGGUUGCUACCAAUAUAUUGACGCUGAUGGACGAAAGCGUGGGGAGCGAACAGGAUUAGAUACCCUGGUAGUCCACGCCGUAAACGAUGGAUACUAGCUGUUCGGAGCAAUC